UACAGAGGUCUCAAGCGUUGUUCGGAUUCAUUGGGCGUAAAGGGUGCGUAGGCGGCGCGGUAAGUCGGGUGUGAAAUCUCGGAGCUUAACUCCGAAACUGCAUUCGAUACUGCCGUGCUUGAGGACUGGAGAGGAGACUGGAAUUUACGGUGUAGCGGUGAAAUGCGUAGAUAUCGUAAGGAAGACCAGUGGCGAAGGCGGGUCUCUGGACAGUUCCUGACGCUGAGGCACGAAGGCCAGGGGGAGC
rnacentral:rRNA from 1 species